AAUAGAUACCCGGGUAGUCCACGCCGUAAACGAUGAGUGCUAAGUGUUAGGGGGUUUCCGCCCCUUAGUGCUGCAGCUAACGCAUUAAGCACUCCGCCUGGGGAGUACGGUCGCAAGACUGAAACUCAAAGGAAUUAACGGGGGCCCGCACAAGCGGUGGAGCAUGUGGUUUAAUUCGAAGCAACGCGAAGAACCUUACCAGGUCUUGACAUCCCGGUGACUGCUGUAGAGAUACAGUUUUCCCUUCGGGGACAACGGUGACAGGUGGUGCAUGGUUGUCGUCAGCUCGUGUCGUGAGAUGUUGGGUUAAGUCCCGCAACGAGCGCAACCCUUGUUCUUAGUUGCCAUCAUUUAGUUGGGCACUCUAAGGAGACUGCCGGUGAUAAACCGGAGGAAGGUGGGGAUGACGUCAAAUCAUCAUGCCCCUUAUGACCUGGGCUACACACGUGCUACAAUGGACGGUACAAACGGUUGCCAACCCGCGAGGGGGAGCUAAUCCGAUAAAACCGUUCUCAGUUCGGAUUGUAGGCUGCAACUCGCUACAUGAAGCCGG
rnacentral:rRNA from 1 species